rnacentral:sRNA from 1 species
UAAUAACUGGUUUGCGUUAGGGAUUGCAGCGGCAUCCUUUUGCCUGUAUGCCAAGCGAAGCGAGGGAUCAUGGCAAAAGAUAUAGCGGAAAGCCCGGCCCGAA